CUGUAUUUUAGGCUUAGAUGAAUCAAGGUCCAGCAUACCUGACGAUGACAAAGGGGACCUGGGAGCUGGAGACUUCUGUGUCCAUGGGCAAAAGCAGGGGGGUGCUCAGGUGCUGGGAGGAGGUCCUGGGCCUCUGUGUCCUUGCAGCAGGAGGCUGGAUGUGGAAGAGAAGGCAGCCGCCUGGGCAUUCAGUGCAGCCCGACAGACAGCCCCACCUCUGCCACAGCCCUGCCUGCCUGGUCCAUGCCCUGCACCAACCCCAAAGUGACCUCUCUAAAACCCAGAGCCAUUUUCCUGCUGGAAAUUCCACAAUGGCCUUCAAUCUUUGUCGUAUAUUGGAAUCUCUUGUAGAGAUUUUUUUUUUAAAUGCUCACACCUGGGCAUUGCCAGAAAUUUAGACCUCGUUGGUACGGGCUGGAGUUCGGGCACUGUUAAAAGCCCCAGGUGAUCCAGACACAGCCAGGUGGAGGCCAGUAGAGGUGGAACCCCUCCUUCAUGACUUCCCAGCAGCUGCUUGAACCACCCCAAGCAUCAUCUCGCAAACAGCAGUGAUGAUGAAACGCCUACCUGCACCCGAGGUCCUGCAGCCGCCAAGCUGGUCCACGCCUGCACCCGAGGUCCUACAGCCGCCAAGGUGGUCCACACCUGCACCCGAGGUCCUGCAGCCGCCAAGGUGGUCCACACCUGCACCCGAGGUCCUGCAGCCGCCAAGGUGGUCCACGCCUGCACCCGAGGUCCUGCAGCCGCCAUGCUGGUCCACACCUGCACCCGAGGUCCUACAGCCGCCAAGCUGGUCCACACCUGCACCCGAGGUCCUGCAGCCAACAAGCUGGUCCACGCCUGCACCCGAGGUCCUGCAGCCGCCAUGCUGGUCCACACCUGCACCCGAGGUCCUGCAGCCGCCAUGCUGGUCCACACCUGCACCCGAGGUCCUACAGCCGCCAAGGUGGUCCACACCUGCACCCGAGGUCCUACAGCCGCCAUGCUGGUCCACACCUGCACCCGAGGUCCUGCAGCCGCCAAGCUGGUCCACACCUGCACCCGAGGUCCUGCAGCCACCAAGGUGGUCCACACCUGCACCCGAGGUCCUGUAGCCACCAAGGUGGUCCACACCUGCACCCGAGGUCCUACAGCCGCCAAGGUGGUCCACGCCUGCACCCGAGGUCCUGCAGCCACCAAGCUGGUCCACGCCUGCAGCUGAGGUCCUGUAACCACCAAGGUGGUCCAUGCCUGCACCCGAGGUCCUGCAGCCACCAAGCUGGUCAAUGCCUGCACCCGAGGUCCUGUAGUCCUGUGGCUGCCAAGCUCGUUCAUGCCUUAUAACCUGCUUGAAAAGCGCUUCAACACCUGCACCCAACUUCCUGCGGUCCUGUGGCUGUCAAGCUGACCCACGCCCCUGUCACUUACUUGAAAAAUGCUUCAACACCUGGCUUCCACAUCCCUUUCUGGAGCUUCCCAGUGCCUCCAGUGAGUCUGCAGCUCCCAGCUCUGCACUGCCUGAAGUCACAGAGAGACAUCCAUGUCAGGGUGCACGUGCCAUGCCUGGCCUCUCAGGAACAGCGUU
rnacentral:lncRNA from 1 species